GAUGCCCCCCAUAGGGGGCCUCACAGGCGUUUGGAUUUUGGGCCGUUCGAUCGAGCUGACGUGGCGCGAUCUCGGCCGGCCGUUCGUCCAGGGCGCUGAGGCCCUCCCGCAGACCCACUUUUUAUCCAUGGGUCGGUAAAAAGCCCGCCCGGCCCGGCCACGGUCUCUCCCCAUCCCCGCGCGUGACUCUCCCCCAAUCCUGCGCCUCCACCGCGUUCCUCUGGAAUCGCCGUCGCGGGCGACAGGCGGCCUUUCCCGUGCCCAGCUGAGUGUGGGAGAAGUACAUCGUCGCCGUCAGAUUCAUCCUCGCCGAAGGAAUCGUCCUGAGAGAGCCGGAAUCGACCUAGGCCGCUCGCGGCGGCUGCCCUACCUCCCGCUCGGCCGCGACCCACCCACGCUCGCCGGCGGCUGCCCUAGCUCCCGUUCGGCCGACGCAAACAAGCUUGGGAAGGGGAAAAGGUGGAGCUCGUCAAGAGAUGGGGUGGCGUUGGGGAUUCCCUCAUCUCCAUGUUGUUGGUGACAAAAAACUCGAAACCCUAGAUUACUAUGUGUGCUAUUUAAGGAGAAGAGAAUGGAGUAGGCAGAGACGUGAAGGAGCCGGAAGUGAUUGUUGCUAGCUUCUUUGCGGAAGAUAGGUGGCUGUCACAAGAGAAGAAGAAGCAAUACUUAAUUACAACAUGUGAUUGGUGCUGCACUACGUGCCCUGUGACACCCCACAUCUCAUCUUGAUCGAUGUGAGAUUAGAUCUUAGGAUGGCCUGAUGCAUGCUACUGAAGUGAUUUUUUUUUGUCUGACUUAUGUCACAAGCAUUGGAUGGAGAACAUGCCACCCAAGCCCACACUGUGCGGAUGCAUGGAUCUCAAAGAGGAGCAUCUGUUGGACGCUGCCGUGGCAGUUGCAUUUGUUUUACUAUUAGUAAUUUACUUGUAUGCAUGCUCUCAUUUUUUAUUUUUAUCAGUCCACUUGUGCAGUUAACAUUUACACGGUCAGCUCCUUUAAUAUAUUUUAGAAAUAGCCAAGAUUUUGGUGUCAACUCUACUUGAGAGAAGGGGAGACAGGACUAAGUCGAAGCCUCAGAUCUAAAAUUGAUCUACUGUUAUUAAUUUCAGGCAAUUAGUUGAUCAGGCAAUGCAAGUACACUGUGCACCUGCUGCUAACUGAGUUUAAUAGCCUCCUCUGAUGUAGGGUCAUUGGUGAAGGCUGGUGCACUAGAUUUUCACUUGGUCUCAUUUGUUAGUUUGAUAUGCUUCGUUAGGUGCUCAUUUGCACCUUCCUUUCUAGGCUUUGCAGGCAAAAUAUUAUUAGUUGCACGAGUCGAGAUAUUGUGUACAAAAUCCCCAGUGGCGGAGCCAUGCCUUAGCUGUGUAGUCAAUUGACUACACAGUUUUUUUUGGCAACAUAAGCUGAAAAUUGCAAAAUUUAAUUAAAAAUUAUACAAAUAUUCGUAUUUGACUACAUAGUUUCAAGCUGACUACACAGAGUUGAUAUGCUGGCUCCGCCACUGCAAAUCCCGCAGUCUGUAUCUAAGGACAAAAUUCAUGAAUAUUUGCUGCCGCAUAAGUGUUUUUUCCCUCUUAUUACUAAGCGCUAGACUGUGGCUAUACAAGUUCUUCAUUCCAUUUUUGGUCGUUUAAUGCUCAAUGCUGACUAACAAAACGCUAUGUUGAUGUCUGAAGUUUGAAUGUAAAUUGAUUACUCUUUCAACACUAAAGUGCAUCCUUUAUAUUUUGUCCGAGAUUCGUUUUC